AGCGAACGCUGGCGGCAGGCCUAAAACAUGCAAGUCGAACGGAUCCUUCGGGAUUAGUGGCGGACGGGUGAGUAACACGUGGGAACGUGCCUUUUGGUUCGGAACAACUCAGGGAAACUUGAGCUAAUACCGAAUGUGCCCUUCGGGGGAAAGAUUUAUCGCCAUUAGAGCGGCCCGCGUCUGAUUAGCUUGUUGGUGAGGUAAAGGCUCACCAAGGCGACGAUCAGUAGCUGGUCUGAGAGGAUGAUCAGCCACACUGGGACUGAGACACGGCCCAGACUCCUACGGGAGGCAGCAGUUAGGAAUCUUGCGCAAUGGGGGAAACCCUGACGCAGCCAUGCCGCGUGAAUGAUUAAGGUCUUAGGAUUGUAAAAUUCUUUCAGCGGGGACGAUAAUGACGGUACCCGCAGAAGAAGCCCCGGCUAACUUCGUGCCAGCAGCCGCGGUAAU
rnacentral:rRNA from 1 species